rnacentral:rRNA from 1 species
AUUGAACGCUGGCGGCAGGCCUAACACAUGCAAGUCGAGCGGAUGAAGGGAGCUUGCUCCUGGAUUCAGCGGCGGACGGGUGAGUAAUGCCUAGGAAUCUGCCUGGUAGUGGGGGAUAACGUCCGGAAACGGGCGCUAAUACCGCAUACGUCCUGAGGGACAAAGUGGGGGAUCUUCGGACCUCACGCUAUCAGAUGAGCCUAGGUCGGAUUAUCUAGUUGGUGGGGUAAAGGCCUACCAAGGCGACGAUCCGUAACUGGUCUGAGAGGAUGAUCAGUCACACUGGAACUGAGACACGGUCCAGACUCCUACGGGAGGCAGCAGUGGGGAAUAUUGGACAAUGGGCGAAAGCCUGAUCCAGCCAUGCCGCGUGUGUGAAGAAGGUCUUCGGAUUGUAAAGCACUUUAAGUUGGGAGGAAGGGCAGUAAGUUAAUACCUUGCUGUUUUGACGUUACCAACAGAAUAAGCACCGGCUAACUUCGUG